rnacentral:tRNA from 1 species
AGCAGUGUAGAGCAGUCCGGUAGCUCGUCAGGCUCAUAACCUGAAGGUCACGGGUUCGAAUCCCGUCGCUGCAACCA